rnacentral:lncRNA from 1 species
GAAAUCUGUGUGAUCUAUUAAUUUUUUUCUUUACAUAUACAAAUGCAUAUGAUAGGUAGCAAGAAUAAUGAUGAUAUAUAAAAUCGUUUGGACAUUUUUGUUAAGUAAAUAAUAUAUAGAUAAGGGAUCUCUAUGUAAUUAGUUUAGAAUACAGUAGCCCUACUUGUAUACUUGUAUAAAUACCUUUCUUACGGUUAAUAAAAGUAUUGAAGCCUCCAACUCUAUAUGGUAUCAGAGCCAAGAAUCUGACCUAAUCUUUUCUUCAAAAAUCUUUCUUCUUUUUCACGGUUUCUCAUCAUGUCCUCGAGCUCCAAUGAAACCGUCUUGCUCACCGGCACCCACGGUAUCACCCACCUUACAAGUCCUCUUCACACCC